AUGCGGAGGGUGCAAGCGUUAUUCGGAAUCACUGGGCGUAAAGGACGCGUAGGCGGGUUGGCAAGUCAGAUGUGAAAUCCUACAGCUUAACUGUAGAACUGCAUUUGAAACUGCUAACCUAGAGUAUGGGAGGGGGAGAUGGAAUUAGUGGUGUAGGGGUAAAAUCCGUAGAUAUCUCUAGGAAUACCGAAAGCGAAGGCGAUCUCCUGGAACAUAACUGACGCUGAGGCGUGAAAGCGUGGGGAGCAAACAGGAUUAGAAACCCUAGUAGUCC
rnacentral:rRNA from 1 species